AAAUCUUUAAUGACGUUAUUAAGGUUACCAAAAUCAUUUAACGACAAUAUUCAUCUCUUAAUUAUAGGGCUUAUUGGAUCUAAAGACGGGUUAUCAAAAAUUUUCUAAACUGAAGCAAAAUAUACUAAUAUUAUUUUUUAAAAUCUU
rnacentral:sRNA from 1 species